rnacentral:rRNA from 1 species
UACGUGGGCAGCAAGCGUUGUUCGGAGUUACUGGGCGUAAAGGGUGCGUAGGUGGCUCUAUAAGUAUGGUGUGAAAUCUCCCGGCUUAACUGGGAGGGUGCGCCGUAGACUGUGGGGCUAGAGUGUGGGAGAGGAAAGUGGAAUUCCUGGUGUAGCGGUGAAAUGCGUAGAUAUCAGGAGGAACACCGGUGGCGAAGGCGGGUCUCUGGGCCGAUACUGACGCUGAGGAGCGAAAGCGUGGGGAGCAAACAGG